rnacentral:lncRNA from 10 species
GCUCAUUAAAACAGCAGGUUGCUCCACACUGCCUCGUGUUGUCUGUUGGCACACUCUCAAGAGUUUGAACGGAUACAAGAAUCUUUCAUCUGGUGCCGAAACCCGGGAGGGGCUCCGGUCUUCGUCCCCCGUGGACCUACCCCUCCGCCCCAGAAAGCAGGCCACAGCAGCCGGACAAAGGAAGCUCCUCAGCCUCCAGUUGCUUCUCUGUGCAUGCACAUCAGUCACUGAUCUCACCUACUGACACUGCUGAGUAUGAAGAACUAAUUGGAGAAGGAAGCCGUUGUAUAGCAGAUGCAGAGCAGCAGCAAAAAUGGUAAUGAAAAUAGAAGAUAAAUUAGAAAAUUUGGAAAAACCCAAACAGAUCAGCCAUAUUGAAGGGAAAAAGAAAAACAAAACAAAGUGGGAGGGCAGAAAUGUAGAACGGUAUACACUCUUUUAACCCCAAGGAUGAAUGUAGCCAAGAACACAGUGGGGACUUAGGAGUCUCAGCACAGAGCAUUCUCUACUCCCUACUGCUCAGGCAAAGAACUCCUUCAUCAUGCAGAACCAAAACUGGUGUAGAGUCUUAAAUGACCUGGGUAUCUCUACGCAGAAGAAAGCGCUUUCCAUGUAAAAGGAUUAACUUGAACCUGGGUGCUCAAGGGACACCCUAGGCUGCUUAUCCCACUGAUUCUGAUCUGACUGUGUUAAGUAAUAAAUCAUGUGGUUACAUAUUCACAUUA